CUGAAUGGCCUUUUAGGCCUUCAACCUUGCAAACCUGUGGAAGCAAGACGUGCUUCGGCGCUUCGGCGUCGCUUUUAUGCCUUAAUCAGUCUAUGUGUCUGAAUAAAAUACAAGAAAUA
rnacentral:misc_RNA from 1 species